GUGGAGCUGCUGCUGGGAUUCGACAAUGCUUGGAGGCUACACCUCAACCACACCAAAUCCACCAUCGCGCCAAUUUGCUGCGGUGACAUCGACCUGCAACAUGUCCUGCUCAAUUUCGAGGUCCAGAUAGUUAGCUUCCCCAUUCGUUACCUCGGGUUGCCCGUUACUCUUGGUCGAAUCAAACUGGUCCACCUGCAAUACAUACUAGAUAGGAUCCGAGCUCGGCUUGCCAGCUGGAAGGGGCGCCUCAUGCCACUCUCGGGCCAUCGGGUGCUUGUCAGUUGCGUACUCUCGGCGCUCUAG
rnacentral:rRNA from 1 species